GGUCAAGUGAAGAAGCGCAUACGGUGGAUGCCUUGGCAGUCAGAGGCGAUGAAAGACGUGGUAGCCUGCGAAAAGCUUCGGGGAGUCGGCAAACAGACUGUGAUCCGGAGAUGUCUGAAUGGGGGAACCCAGCCAUCAUAAGAUGGUUAUCUUACACUGAAUACAUAGGUGUAAGAGGCGAACCAGGGGAACUGAAACAUCUAAGUACCCUGAGGAAAAGAAAUCAACCGAGAUUCCCUUAGUAGUGGCGAGCGAACGGGGACCAGCCCUUAAGUUGUAUUGAGAUUAGCGGAACGCUCUGGAAAGUGCGGCCAUAGUGGGUGAUAGCCCUGUACGCGAAAAUCCCUUUGCAAUGAAAUCGAGUAGGACGGGGCACGAGAAACCUUGUCUGAAUAUGGGGGGACCAUCCUCCAAGGCUAAAUACUACUGACUGACCGAUAGUGAACCAGUACCGUGAGGGAAAGGCGAAAAGAACCGCGGAGAGCGGAGUGAAAUAGAUCCUGAAACCGUAUGCGUACAAGCAGUGGGAGCCCACUUUGUUGGGUGACUGCGUACCUUUUGUAUAAUGGGUCAGCGACUUAUUUUCAGUGGCGAGCUUAACCGAAUAGGGGAGGCGUAGCGAAAGCGAGUCUUAAUAGGGCGUCUAGUCGCUGGGAAUAGACCCGAAACCGGGCGAUCUAUCCAUGGGCAGGUUGAAGGUUGGGUAACACUAACUGGAGGACCGAACCGACUACCGUUGAAAAGUUAGCGGAUGACCUGUGGAUCGGAGUGAAAGGCUAAUCAAGCUCGGAGAUAGCUGGUUCUCCUCGAAAGCUAUUUAGGUAGCGCCUCAUGUAUCACUGUAGGGGGUAGAGCACUGUUUCGGCUAGGGGGUCAUCCCGACUUACCAAACCGAUGCAAACUCCGAAUACCUACAAGUGCCGAGCAUGGGAGACACACGGCGGGUGCUAACGUCCGUCGUGAAAAGGGAAACAACCCAGACCGUCAGCUAAGGUCCCAAAGUCAUGGUUAAGUGGGAAACGAUGUGGGAAGGCUUAGACAGCUAGGAGGUUGGCUUAGAAGCAGCCACCCUUUAAAGAAAGCGUAAUAGCUCACUAGUCGAGUCGGCCUGCGCGGAAGAUGUAACGGGGCUCAAACCAUGCACCGAAGCUACGGGUAUCAUCUUAUGAUGAUGCGGUAGAGGAGCGUUCUGUAAGCCUGUGAAGGUGAGUUGAGAAGCUUGCUGGAGGUAUCAGAAGUGCGAAUGCUGACAUGAGUAACGACAAUGGGUGUGAAAAACACCCACGCCGAAAGACCAAGGUUUCCUGCGCAACGUUAAUCGACGCAGGGUUAGUCGGUCCCUAAGGCGAGGCUGAAAAGCGUAGUCGAUGGAAAACAGGUUAAUAUUCCUGUACUUCUGGUUAUUGCGAUGGAGGGACGGAGAAGGCUAGGCCAGCCUGGCGUUGGUAGUCCAGGUUUAAGGUGGUAGGCUGAGAUCUUAGGUAAAUCCGGGAUCUUAAGGCCGAGAGCUGAUGACGAGUGUUCUUUUAGAACAUGAAGUGGUUGAUGCCAUGCUUCCAAGAAAAGCUUCUAAGCUUCAGGUAACCAGGAACCGUACCCCAAACCGACACAGGUGGUUGGGUAGAGAAUACCAAGGCGCUUGAGAGAACUCGGGUGAAGGAACUAGGCAAAAUGGCACCGUAACUUCGGGAGAAGGUGCGCCGGUGAGGGUGAAGCAUUUACUGCGUAAGCCCACGCCGGUCGAAGAUACCAGGCCGCUGCGACUGUUUAUUAAAAACACAGCACUCUGCAAACACGAAAGUGGACGUAUAGGGUGUGACGCCUGCCCGGUGCCGGAAGGUUAAUUGAUGGGGUUAGCGCAAGCGAAGCUCUUGAUCGAAGCCCCGGUAAACGGCGGCCGUAACUAUAACGGUCCUAAGGUAGCGAAAUUCCUUGUCGGGUAAGUUCCGACCUGCACGAAUGGCGUAACGAUGGCGGCGCUGUCUCCACCCGAGACUCAGUGAAAUUGAAAUCGCUGUGAAGAUGCAGUGUAUCCGCGGCUAGACGGAAAGACCCCGUGAACCUUUACUAUAGCUUUGCACUGGACUUUGAAUUUGCUUGUGUAGGAUAGGUGGGAGGCUUUGAAGCGUGGACGCCAGUCUGCGUGGAGCCAACCUUGAAAUACCACCCUGGCAACUUUGAGGUUCUAACUCAGGUCCGUUAUCCGGAUCGAGGACAGUGUAUGGUGGGUAGUUUGACUGGGGCGGUCUCCUCCUAAAGAGUAACGGAGGAGUACGAAGGUGCGCUCAGACCGGUCGGAAAUCGGUCGUAGAGUAUAAAGGCAAAAGCGCGCUUGACUGCGAGACAGACACGUCGAGCAGGUACGAAAGUAGGUCUUAGUGAUCCGGUGGUUCUGUAUGGAAGGGCCAUCGCUCAACGGAUAAAAGGUACUCCGGGGAUAACAGGCUGAUACCGCCCAAGAGUUCAUAUCGACGGCGGUGUUUGGCACCUCGAUGUCGGCUCAUCACAUCCUGGGGCUGAAGCCGGUCCCAAGGGUAUGGCUGUUCGCCAUUUAAAGUGGUACGCGAGCUGGGUUUAGAACGUCGUGAGACAGUUCGGUCCCUAUCUGCCGUGGACGUUUGAUUUUAAAGUGGUACGCGAGCUGGGUUUAGAACGUCGUGAGACAGUUCGGUCCCUAUCUGCCGUGGACGUUUGAGAUUUGAGAGGGGCUGCUCCUAGUACGAGAGGACCGGAGUGGACGAACCUCUGGUGUUCCGGUUGUCACGCCAGUGGCAUUGCCGGGUAGCUAUGUUCGGAAAAGAUAACCGCUGAAAGCAUCUAAGCGGGAAACUUGCCUCAAGAUGAGAUCUCACUGGAACCUUGAGUUCCCUGAAGGGCCGUCGAAGACUACGACGUUGAUAGGUUGGGUGUGUAAGCGCUGUGAGGCGUUGAGCUAACCAAUACUAAUUGCCCGUGAGGCUUGACCAUAUAACACCCA
rnacentral:rRNA from 1 species